AGUGAGUGUUUGCCAGGCGCCUUCUUGCCGAGCGCGGUUGCAUUGUGCCGACGAGAUUUACGUAUUCCACGCAAGUUCCGGGGUGGUUUUCUCUUAUUUUGGACAUCUGAGGAAACUACGGUUUACUGUGGCCAAGUGGAGGAUUGCCGCUUCAGAUCCAGAGCUUGAAAGUAAGUUGACAUCUCUGCUGGACCUAAUAGAUGGGUUUCCGCCCUUCAGCAUCGGUGGGUUCUUCGUGGCUGCCAGAGCCAGGCUUAUUGACAUCGCCAGCUUCACCGCUACUUAUCUGGUCAUCUUGCUACAAUUCCAGGCAGGAGAAGAUUCUAAUAAGUCAUAAUAUAAAAGGCAAGGCUUCGGAAUCGACUGGUUGAUGCCCUUCGUGAAAAUAUGGGACUUUGAUUUUCUACACAGGUAGAAUUUAAAAAAAAAAAAAAAAAAAAAAAAUCAAGUCUUCAGGUCAUCAUGGAUUUUACCGCAUAAAAUCCCAAAAUUGUUAAACGCAUUAUAAAGGUGGAAAAUUACCUUGAACAAGAUCAUUUAUUGUUUACCAGAUCAUCUUCCACAUGAUAAAACAUAACGAAAGUCUGUAAUAGAGCCAUGCACGAUGGUGCAUAAAUGAUAAAUUAAAUAUUUCUUUCACUGGGUAGGGUUCCAUACUAAGAAAGCGUCCAGAAAUUACUGCUACUCUUAUGUUUUACUGUUAAGUCAUGCUGUGUAUAUAGUCCCAAAUUCACAAGAGUAUUAAAACAGCAACAUGUAUAGAUUCAGUGUAGCACACUUAUAAACCAAUUCCCCAAAGGAAUGACAAGCAUAUCACUCUAGUAUGAUUGUCUGUACUUCACUUUUCUUGUUGUCUUCUCUUACAACUUUUACUUUAAAAAAAAUCUGCAUGAUGUAUUUCACCACACACCUGUAUUACAUAAUUUUAGUGUUGCCAUUGGCGGUAAUGUUGUGUAACACGUGUAAGGCAAGUCAAAAUAGACAUUCUUCCCAAUGGUUUUAAGGUAAUGACAGGCAUCGGAUUUGGAGAAACAUUUCCAAAUUUCACUUGAACUCCAGAUUGCUUUAUAAUUGUAACAUCACUGAAUGAAAUGAUGUAACUGCCUAUGACUGUCGGUGUUUUGUAAGCCUUUGGACAGUUCAGGUACAUCCACUGGUAUGAAAGAUACUUGAAGGAUUAUAUCUAAUUAUAGAUAUGUGCCCAAAAAUAGUCAUUUGACGGUUUAAUGCCCUUUCUAGUUGUAGGAUUGAAAAAGUCUAGAGCAUUUGAAAAAGGAAAUACUUUUAAUUUUCCUUAAUUGUGUUAUGCCAUCCCUUUUGGGGUAGGGUAGGAGGUGGACAUUUGGGAGUCGGCUCUCACUUCUGCCAUUGGUGGAAGCAUAAACUUCAUGAAAGGCUGAUGAUAUCUUUUUAAGAAUUUUAGGUUUAAUUCUUUUAUUCGAUCUUUAUGAAUAGUAAGAAUAAAGAACCGAGUACCACCAACCCCCCUUCCCCACCCUGGAACCUUCCAGAGAUAUACUUUUGUAGAUAUUUUCAUUUAUUCACGGUAGAAAUGUCCAAUGAGGCAUUGUAGUCAAUAGUUUUAGAUCACUCCUCGCAGUUUUCAAGGAUGGCUCAAAGUCAGAUGCUGACGUCGCCAUUGGAAUGUCUUUUCCUGAUACAGAAAGCAGCGGGGGAUUAUCAUGUGUUGCAGCCAUUUCUUAACUCAGAAUAGAAAAUAUAUUUUAACUCAAGAAGUGUUCGUCAGUCAAUGGAAUCUUUUAACCCUUUAAACCCUCCGAUUUUAGAGAUAUUGGAAUGGGGGCUUUUAGUGAAAAGAAGACGCAAUGAAAUCAGUUUUUGCUAGAGGUCUUCACCUCUUGGGAUGGUUGGGAACAAGCAAGCUGAUCAACUUACUAAGUAAGCAGUCACCUCCCCAGAACCCAGAAGAUGUCUACUACUAUACCGGGAUGCAAGUCCUCAAGUAGACCAGAAAAUUAAAAAGUUUUGGCAGUCCCUUUGGGAAAAUAUUUUAACGAAUCAAAAAAUGCGCAGUAUUACGUCAUCAGUGUCUCCUUUGUCAUAUCAUUAUAUGCCAAAGAGACAAGAAACGAUGUCGUACCAGCUUAGGAUUAGACCUACAAGACUCAUGCAUGGGUUCUUGAUGUCCGGUGAAAAUCCUCCAUUCUUGAAUGUGAGACAUUUGGUGGUCGAAUGUCCCUUGGGAUUCUAAGGCAUAGAUUCCUCUUUUGCAGCGAUUCUCGGGGAGACCGUAAUUUAGAGCAGCUUGUAUAUCUUUUGUUAGGGAGCGCUGGCCUCCUCAAAAUUUAGAUCAUAUACAUUGUGCAUAUGUAUGUAUAUUAUAUGUUUUACAGAUAUGAUUAAUAUUUAUACUUUUAGGCAUUUUUACAUGAGACCCCUUUAAACUUAUUUAUUUACUUAUCUUUUUAAUUUCGUAUUUAAUUUUCUUACGGCGUCAAUAACCUAGAUGCCGUGACCCCUGUUUUAAUAGCCAGAAAUCAAUGAAUUCCUCUCUAUAUUUCUGCAAACAAAAGAAACGACUUCGGAAUAGAUAUCGCUAUAUGUUUUUAAAACAAAUUGUAAAACAAGGAAUUAAAUUAUACCAUACCGUAGCAUAAAACGAAUACCUCAGAAAGUAAAGAAGAAAAAAAUUACAGUUUAUGUCCACUAAAUCGUCA